GGGCCGCGUGUCAAGGCGCCCGCCUCCCCCAGCGCCCGGCGCCGGUCGGAGCGAGUCAGGAAAGGGCUCCAGAGCCCCGGGCCGGCCCGCCGUCCUCAGGCCCGUCCUCCCGCCGUCUCCGCGCCUCCUCCCUGCCCAUCAGCCUCCAAGCCCAAACCAGGCCGCGCAUCCCACCCGCAGGCGGAGGCUGGAGCAAUUCCAGGCGGACGGGGCCGAGGGGGCACCGCACAGCCCAGAGCUUCCUGGGGAGUGGGGUCCUGGGAAUCGGGGUCCUGGGCCCCCGGCCUCGUGUCCACCCCGCUGGCCCUGCCCGUCCAGCAGCGGAUGGGCAGCCCCUCUCCACUCGCUUCUAAAAUGUCAGCUAGAAAGAUGGCAGAGUUUAACGCUUACUCCCUUCACGGUCCCGCUGGAAGGCCACCUCUGCAAUGGAGCAGGGAUGGAGAACACGUGUCCAGGGCUCACAGGUGGGUGUGCAGGCCGGGCGCCCUCACCUGUCAGGGCCAAGCCUUCCCCGCCGCAAGGAGGAGUCAGAAGCCCUCCUGUGGGUUGAGGAGAGGGCAGCCUCUGGACGGAACCGAGCCCAGGGGAGCAGCGCCAUCCUUGGAGAGGCCAAGCCCGCGCUGGUGCACCUGCCAGGUGUGGGAGGUCAGCGGGAUCUACAGGCACUGAGCACCCACUGUGCAAGGCACUGGGUGUUGGGUGCCCUACGUGAUCUCAUUUUGCUCUCAAGCCACCGGGUGAGGAUUCAUCAAGACUCCAGACGCCAUGAAGAGGAAAUAUGAAUUGGACCUCAACCUUCCCUGAAAGUAGAGACACCUCUGGGCCAGAUCCUGGGGCACGCUCUCAGCAUCUUCCUUCAGUCCUGCACCCCGAUCUGAGCACCCCCCAAGGCCCUGGGACAGUCAACAAGUCUCCCUCCCAAUUUCAUAGACUCAGGGCCAACAAGAUGCUUGCUCAGUGCGAAAGGCAGAAAAUGUUCAGAUUUAUUGCUUUGAGAGUUCGGUCUGUCUCCUGGGCCUGGUUGACGCAGCUUCCUUCAGGUUUCAGAGCAUUUUGUUAAAAAAAAAA